AUGAACGAAUUUGAUGGAGUCAAUGCCGUGUUGGGUGCGGCGGGCUGGCCGGGAGCAACGGCCAUCGUGGCGGCUGUGCUGGGGGGCAUCAGCCAUGGUGGCGGAAUCCACAGAGGUGGCUACUGGAUCACACAUCUCUGGAUAGGUGGCUCACCGGGGACGGCCGACGAUGACGGCGGAAGGAGCACAAGGGACGGCAGCGUCUGGCCAGGCAAGGGUGGAUCGUGGCACAGACCCGCUGGAAGGGCUCCUGGCGGCGGCUGCCCGGGAGUGUGGAUGGUCGUGGCACGAUCUUUUCUUGAGACUGGGAACAAUGGACUUUACCUAUGGGCUUCGAAUGGGCUUUGUAAUGUCCAAACAAUUUUGAUGACGUGGCUUCAUGAGGAGGCAAGAAAAUCAGCUAGAUUUGCACCAAAUUUUACCAAAACCCCUAAAAAAACUAAUUUUACUGAAAAAAGUGGAUUUGCACCAAACGACACGAGACGAGACGAGUCACCUGCCGCCACGCCGCCCAUAUAUGCGUGUCAUGCCCGUGCUCAGCCCGAUGCAUCAUGCACCACCACACCCGUCCACUCGUCAAGCUCCAACGCUGAGCCUGAGCGCAUGGAGAUGGAGGGUAGCAGCUCGUUGCGGCACCUCGCCGAGUACGACGACUUCUUCUUCGGGUGGCUCGACGACAGCGCACGGCACUCGCCGCCGUCCUUGGACCGCCUCGUCGGCAGCGUCGGUCAUUCCUUCCGAAUCUCAACGUCGUCCUCCUUCAUCGACUUGUACUUGUACCCCCACGACAAUCUCUUCUCCAUCGACUUAGACUUAGCCACGGCGGCGAGUGAGAUCGACUUCGACCUCCCGGUAGUAGACGACGCCACGCCGUCCCCGACGCUGCUGCAGAUCAGCGCGAGCCGCCUCCUCCCCUGCGAGCCCGGAGGCGGCUCUGGCGCGCAAGAUCAAGAAGACGGCGACGACUCGGUGAUCACCAGUCGGCAUCGCUCUGCGGACGCCCCGAGCGCUCCGUGGUUGUCAGCCUUCUCGGCGCGGAGCACGCUGGUCUCGCUGAGUGCGUGCUCCAGCCCGACGAGCAAGCACGCCAUGUCGCGGUCGACGUUGUGUGCCAGGACCAGGAGGCGCCGCGCGGCGUCGUCGUCGCCCUGGAAGGUGCUGCGGUUCGUGAUGCCACUGUACCGGAAGGUCAGGGCGAUCGGGCGGAGGCACAGCAGCAGGUUCACGUUGGCGGCGAGCCCGGCGCGCGGGGCCACGUCGAGCGUCGGGUACCACGGCAGUGCCGACACGGACGUGGACGUUCAUGACGCCAUCAUCUACUGCAAGAAGUCCAGUGGAUCAGGUGUGCAGGAGACUAAUCUCGCAUGUCAGCCACAUGAUUUUCUAAACCCGUGA
rnacentral:rRNA from 1 species